AAGAAAAUAGAUUUUGGAAGUUAUGAGAGAGAAAGUAUUCAUUGAGCCAUCUUAACAAAAAAAUGUUCUUUCGUCUAAAGCAAGUUUGCUAAACUUCAUUUGAACUUUUAAGUCAGUCACUUGAUUGAGCCUCUGAGAAUAACAGAACACCUGUUGACCAAGCAAUGUUACUUCUGCUUCUUUUAAGGCAUCUUGCCAAAUUUGUCAUACUGUGAGACUACACAUGCUCCAUUAAAAGAGAAGACCAUGAAAAUAUUGAAAUAAAAAAAUAAAAGAAGUAUUAUUUCAUUUCUGUUUUGAUGAAUGGGAAAAAAAAAAUCAAGAACAAGAAGUUCCAAAGAGGCCGAAGAGUAAAUUAUUUCCGUUUAGGACACAAUUUUAUUAAUCCCAUUUUGAUCUGUAUUUUUGUAAUUUAUAGUGAUCAUCAUAAAGCAUAUGAAAACAGGCAACACCAAUAAAAUAUUCUCAAGUAACAUAGUCAGUUAUGUGGAAAAGUAAGGAAGGCCACAAGCGUAUGUAUAAUUUGCCAACUCUACAGACUUUAUCAUGGAACCUGAGAAUUUCUGGUUUCUGUGUGUUUGUUUUUUGUUGUUGUUGUUAUUAUUGUUGUUGUUCAAAGUUUAUGUAUUCUACCUUAAGCAUAGGUAUGACAAAAAUAUCAUAUAUAGGGUGGAUGGUGAAGGGAGAAAUCGAAGAAAAGUAAGAAGUGCAAGAGAAAAGAAAGA